AGCUACCUCUCCUGUCCAAAGAAGGUAUAUGUGCCAUUGGAAGAUAAUCGCUCAAACUUGGUGCACACAGCGUGGGCAAUGAUGGGUCUAAUCCAUUCAGGACAGGCUGAUAGAGACCCUACACCUCUUCAUCGUGGAGCAAAGCUUUUGAUCAACUCUCAGUUGGAAGAUGGUGAUUUUCCCCAACAGGUAUGACUAAUAAUUAUGGACUGCACUGAAAUU